rnacentral:rRNA from 1 species
UGCCAGCCGCCGCGGUAACACCAGCGCCACGAGUGGUAACCGCGUUUAUUGGGCCUAAAGCGUUCGUAGCCGGUUUGGUAAAUCUCUUGUGAAAUCGUCGAGCUCAACUCGGCGGCGUGCUAGAGACACUGCCAGACUCGAGACCGGGAGGAGUCAGAGGUAUUCCUGAGGGAGCGGUAAAAUGUGAUAAUCUCAGGAGGAUCACCUAUGGCGAAGGCAUCUGACCAGAACGGAUCUGACGGUGAGGAACGAAGGCUAGGGGAGCGAUCCGGAUUAGAUA